AGCUUUACUCAUUCAUCUGGCACUCCCGUCAUUUUCACAGUGUUACAGAUUUCACUAAACGUUGUCAAAUGAUCAUAUGGGUUCUCAUUUGACAAGCCGUGAAACUGGUUGCCUUGCACCAGAUGGAUAAGCGCUGGAUUUCACCAUGUUAGUCGUAUGGUCUAUUGUCAUGGCUAUGCUGUUGAAGUGGAAAGGGCCAACAACAUUAGAUUGAUCUGCUAGAGUGUGUCUUAGAGGGGGUUGCUCAUUUGCCAUCUCUUAUUAAUCUAGUGUACGAGCUUUUGGUGAAGGUGAUAAUAAUUUGUCAGGAAAAGGAAACAAAUCCCUAGAUGGGUGUCUGACUCUCCU
rnacentral:lncRNA from 1 species